GACGAACGCUGGCGGCGUGCUUAACACAUGCAAGUCGAACGGAAAGGCCCUGCUUUUGUGGGGUGCUCGAGUGGCGAACGGGUGAGUAACACGUGAGUAACCUGCCCUUGACUUUGGGAUAACUUCAGGAAACUGGGGCUAAUACCGGAUAGGAGCUCCUGCUGCAUGGUGGGGGUUGGAAAGUUUCGGCGGUUGGGGAUGGACUCGCGGCUUAUCAGCUUGUUGGUGGGGUAGUGGCUUACCAAGGCUUUGACGGGUAGCCGGCCUGAGAGGGUGACCGGCGAGGGGGUGGCGGGCAUACGACCCCGGGCAGGAGGGGCGGCGGAGGGGGGGAAGAGGGGAGCCUGGGCGGCCGCCGGAGUGAGCGUCGCGGGGGGCGGGGUGGCGGGCGGCGGUUUGUACGCCGCUUUCGCGUGGCAGGGGGGGGGAGAGACGGUGGGGGGAAAAGAAGCACCGGCGAAAGACGUGCGAGCAGCAGGGUAAAUAGUGGGAAGAGAACACGUCUGAAC
rnacentral:rRNA from 1 species